CUUUGCCUCACAGAUGGUCUCUGUCUGCAAUAACUCUGGUGUCCUUCUGCUCUAUGAGACAGAAGGGACAGAGACAGACCGGAGCUUGCAAUGGAGAGACACAGGGGAGGAACAAGAGAGGGGAGAGAUUUGAGCACAAGGCACGUCACCCCAGGAGUUCUCUCUCACAGCAGUGGCGAAUUACUACCACUACCAUCAGCCAGGUCCAAAGGCCAAACACAUAAAAACAUAUUCAACAUAAAUAAAGGAAAUGAACCUCUGAGCCCAAGAAAGCAGCCGACACCAGGUCGCGCCAGAGCAGGGGGGGUUCUCUGUAUCCUCAUAAAGCACAGAAAAUUAUUUUUUGAUUCAAGUCACCCCUUGCCACAUGCACACACACACUCUGACUCACACGCACAAGCAGAUCGUCAGCCUGGUUUUUAAUUCCAGAUAUAUGCUGAAUAUGUGUUUAUUCUUGUCAAUCUGUUAUGUUGUUAAAUGUUGCAAUCACCUAAUGACCCCCUGUAAGGCAAUAGAAUAUAAAAUAUUAUGUCAAAGGCAAAAGCUUUUUCCCUUUGUCCCCCCUCUGUACUCCCUGAUCCAAAUGGACAAUGCAUCACUAGGCCUUGAUGCCUCAGAAGUCUGGGUUCAUUAAAAUCUUGAAUGAGUGCCAAAGCUGUAGUCAUAGAUAAAAAGAAUAUGAAAGGAUAACGAAAUUUAUGGAUGGCAAGUCACCACCUCACCCUGGCAUUUAUAAUAAACAAAUGGUUUCUGUUUCCAAUUUAAAUUUCUCAUUAUACUGUGACUUUUGGAAAAUGUGUUUUGAUUUACCAACAUUUUAUCUGAAAAA